GCAAAUCCUGCGUGGUGCUUCCUAGGACCGGGGGCCAUCGGAUCCAUGCUGUCUAGAAUUCUGGUUUUCCUGUGCCUCUUCCUGGCUACAGGGGCAGCUGCUGCUGGCUGUGAGUGCCCUUGCAGUUCAGCUGGAACCAGGACAUGUUGGUUCCAUUGCUGCACUGUUAGAUUCUCCCUCUUCAAGUCAAGGGGAGAGCUUCUCACCAGCUAUAGCAUUUUGAUGGAGGUCUUAGAACUGCAGCAAGAGCUGCCAUGUUAUGCUCUACUGAAUCAACUUUUGAGCAAGCAGUUACCAUUUCAGACAAUGUGGGCUCCCCAGAUGUUCAUCCCUUAAAAAGCCCAGCAGAGCCGCAUCAGAAGACUGCGCCAACCUAUGGAGUCUUCUCGCCUGUAUGCUUGGAAUAAGCACCACCAAUUUGAUGAUACCCAGACCACCAUCCUUAAAACUCGAAUACAAGAUGGCAUCACAUGUACUCAGUGGAAGAUGAAGCCAUUCCUUGACCGCCUUACGAAUCAACAGGUCAAGGGAUUCCAGAAGGCCCACGCUCACCUCGUAAUCAGGCCUUCAAAUACGAUGUUAUCUGUCUCCGCAUGCGGAGGGAAAUUCGCCAAGCUACCAAACUCUCCAGUUGUAUCCCAUUGUAUCUUAAAGUGAUCGUGGACAACCCCAGAUGGUAACUGGAACCACACAGUUUCCGUACUGUCCAGAAUAAUAGGCGCCAGAUGCCUUCUAUGCAACUCGUACAACACCUGAAAACUGAGAAAUUUCCCUCUUUUUACCGCCCUUUUACGCAUCCAAUUAGUUGCUGUUUUGGAUGCACUCCGACCACGAACCAUCUGCCUUUUUCAACCCCUGCUAGAUCUCAUAUUUUGGCCUGGCACACCCAGGCUAUUUCGAAACUCAUCAAAACCCUCAUUCACCAGCUUUGGCAGAUUUUGACCCUUCAAUGCCUUCUUGAGGACUUCAUGAUACCUGGCAAAUAUGCCAGGCAAUAAACCAGUUUUGAUGGCAUCACGGUAAUGGAGCCUCAACCGUCCCUCCUUUGGCAGUUUAGCAGACCCGGAGUGAUGUACCAUCUCCCUCACGCAUUCCAGCCCAACCUGAUCUUUCACAGAGGGACCUCUCCCCAGAAGGUGCCUCUUAUCACUGAUCUGCUUAGGAGUUUGCAUGGAAUCUGCUCCGCAAUAAGUUGGUUAAUAUGCCCGCUAAUUGUACCAGGAGAGCCUCCUCCUCUUCAGUCCAUACCCUCUUGUGGGCCCCCCUCAAUGAUGACACCUUGGGAUGGGAGGCAUCAAUCUGUUCAAGAUAUCUCACAAGAGGAUGUCGUAUCCUUUUGUGUCGGCCCAGGCCAAUCUUGGUGGCAAACCCUCGUUGGCAUACCUCACAGACCCACUUGCCAGUAGGAACCACACACACUUGUACCUUUACACGCUAUACUGUGGUAAUUAAGAUUUUGCUUACCACACUUUGAGCACUUAAAUACCACCUUUUUCUGCCCGUGUGCCCUCUUCAGAUGGUCAGUCAGGCCCAGCAUCCUCGUAAACUGGGUCAAGCAACAAGGACAAGAUGGAUUUUUGUCAGGUACGGAUACAACUGGUGUUCUUAUUGUACCGUCAUGGUUUGACCUUGGCACAGUGCCAGUGCCUCCAUGAAAGGUAUAUUUUUAAAAUGGUUACUGUGAGAUAUGACUCAGAAACAGAACAAAGCAGGGUCCAACUUGGGAAUGGAGGGAAAAGACAACACUUUAUUAAUUUAUGACAUGGAGGCAAAAGGGAAAAAAAGAAAAAAAGCCCACACACAGCAAUCCACAAUGGAACACCUCCAAAACACUCCUCCUCCCCCCACCCCUCUAACACGCAAUCCUCUCUAACACUCAAUUCUCAGUUUAAUACUAUGCUUCACACAACCUCCCCCUAGUUCACCAGGAGAGUGGAGUCUCUCUCUUGCACUAUGGGCCUCCCCAGGAAACAUAGUUGGAACUUCUUGUGCUUCCAUGUCACAUGUGGCAGCCGCCCAGAGAGAAUCUGCUGUAGUGACCAUCUUCUUUCUAUGUCCAGUGUUUUUACCACUGUCCAUGGAUCUAAACUGCUUCUUAGGUUCUUUUAAGAAUUCCUUGCCCACUUCCAAGAAGUGGCAGCCUCUCACUAUUUGGGACACCUGUCCCCCCUAUAUUUCACCCCCUGGGGUCGAGGGGCUUCAUGAACAGAGAUUCUUCUCUGCUGAAGGCAGGGAGCUCCACUACACCCUCUUCAUCAGUCUCUGUUCCCUCUACUUCUUCUUACAACAGCUUUGUCACUCUUGGCUUCUGGCCAACUGCCUCUCCCAAGGUGCAGUCUCUACAUUACAGGAAGAAAUUGGUUCUGUCCCGGGGCCAUGUAAGAGAAAAGUCCAGCCAAAAGGUCACUCCAAAUCAUCUCCUCCAUCUAGGGCACUUCUCAUCUGAUAGCAUUUCUUCACCUACUCAAGCUUUCUUCUCAUUUGCCCAUCCUCUGUCCCCUCUCAAUUCUCAGCUGGGGAGGAUCAGUGUUUUUUACAGCUUCCAUUAUCUCAGCACC